rnacentral:rRNA from 1 species
CGGAAUGUGCAAACGUUAUUCGGAAUCGACUGGGCUUAAAGAGUCCGUAGGCGGCAUGUUAGGUGAGGUGUGAAAUCCCCCGGCUCAACCGAGGAAUUGCGCUUCAAACCGGCGUGCUCGAGGAAGAUAGAGGUGGGCGGAACUGAUGGUGGAGCGGUGAAAUGCGUUGAUAUCAUCAGGAACACCGGAGGCGAAAGCGGCCCACUGGGUCUUUUCUGACGCUGAGGGACGAAAGCUAGGGGAGCGAACGGGAUUAGAUACCCCGGUAGUCCUAGCCUUAAACGAUGAGCACUAGACCGAAGGAUCUCCACGAUUUUUUGGUCGUAGCGAAAGUGUUAAGUGCUCCGCCUGGGGAGUAUGGUCGCAAGGCUG